rnacentral:lncRNA from 1 species
AGGCACUCCAGUCCACCUCCUUAACUCCCGAAUCCCCUGAUCCUCCACUACUGUUUCUCACUAUCACAGUACUGGACGAACCCUUACUGCUACUCUCACUCACUACAGUUGUAUCAGACAAAUCCCCGGACCCUCCUAUCUCAACUUUGGGCUCGUGUAUCAGAGUAUCAAGCUGAACUGAAUUUGAUGACACUAAUGGAUUUCUACUCUCCUCCAAACUUGCAACCUUCUCAACUUCCCCAUUUUCCUUGCUUAAAUCAUCAUCCCAUGUAAAACUACCACUUGCAACGAAAUUAUUCUCAACCUCGCUGUUGUUCUCAACCUCAUUGAUACUCAAAUCCGCGAACGCCUGAGCCACAUUCGAUUUAUUCCCAUCAGUGAAACUGAAUCCUACCAAUGCCGAU